rnacentral:rRNA from 1 species
GACGAACGCUGGCGGCGUGCUUAACACAUGCAAGUCGAACGGAAAGGCCCUGCUUUUGUGGGGUGCUCGAGUGGCGAACGGGUGAGUAACACGUGAGUAACCUGCCCUUGACUUUGGGAUAACUUCAGGAAACUGGGGCUAAUACCGGAUAGGAGCUCCUGCUGCAUGGUGGGGGUUGGAAAGUUUCGGCGGUUGGGGAUGGACUCGCGGCUUAUCAGCUUGUUGGUGGGGUAGUGGCGUACCAAGGCUUUGACGGGUAGCCGGCCUGAGGGGGUGACCGGCCACAUGGGGACUGAGAUACGGCCCAGACUCCUACGGGAGGCAGCAGUGGGGAAUAUUGCACAAUGGGCGGAAGCCUGAUGCAGCAACGCCGCGUGCGGGAUGACGGCCUUCGGGUUGUAAACCGCUUUCGCCUGUGACGAAGCGUGAGUGACGGUAAUGGGUAAAGAAGCACCGGCUAACUACGUG